ensembl:snRNA
GUGUGUACAGGAGGAUAGAAGGUCAGUGUUCCCCUUGACAAGGAUGGAAGAGGCCCUCGGACCUGACAGCAUGCACACCAGUAAGGGAUUAAGGAAUUGCCACCUCCUUCGUAGCAUCUAACCAUCUUUUUUU